AUGAUCCAGUGGUACAACGCCAACGCUUUUCCGAUCAACUAAAGGAUCGCCAUUCAGGAGAUGAGGAAGUAUUGCCUUUGGAUGAGACAUUCCUUACGGUUCUUGAAUACGGAAUCCCACCAAGUGCUGGCUGGGUUUUGGACAUUGAUAAGCUUACAAUGUUGCUCACCGAUUCACUAAACAUCAAGGAAGUAAUACUUUUCCCUGCUAUGAAUCCACAACAACCACUCUAUGAACCACCAGACAAAGGCGGUGUUUAUUAUUCUGUUGAGAAUAAUACGUCAAUUGCGGAGGUUCAGUCCCAGAACACAACAUCAGAAUGCAUAAUUAAGAGACGAGCUUGACCUGAAUCUAAGUAAUCUAAGAACUAGCAAACCCCAAUCGUGCAUCUUUUUAAUAUGGUGUCCUGGCCUGGGUGUGUUUGUACUUGAGGUAUGGUGUCCUGGGUGUGUUUGUACUUGAAGUUGAGAGAUUUAUAACCAGUCUUACCUUUGGCUUGAAUGCGUUGGAACUUUUUGUUGUUCUAUGUAA